GUUAAGCGACUAAGCGUACACGGUGGAUGCCCUGGCAGUCAGAGGCGAUGAAGGACGUGCUAAUCUGCGAUAAGCGUCGGUAAGGUGAUAUGAACCGUUAUAACCGGCGAUUUCCGAAUGGGGAAACCCAGUGUGAUUCGUCACACUAUCAUUAACUGAAUCCAUAGGUUAAUGAGGCGAACCGGGGGAACUGAAACAUCUAAGUACCCCGAGGAAAAGAAAUCAACCGAGAUUCCCCCAGUAGCGGCGAGCGAACGGGGAG
rnacentral:rRNA from 1 species